rnacentral:rRNA from 1 species
UACGUAGGGGGCAAGCGUUAUCCGGAUUUACUGGGUGUAAAGGGGGCGCAGACGGCGAUGCAAGCCAGGAGUGAAAGCCCGGGGCCCAACCCCGGGACUGCAUUUGGAACUGUAUGGCUGGAGUGUCGGAGAGGCAGGCGGAAUUCCUAGUGUAGCGGUGAAAUGCGUAGAUAUUAGGAGGAACACCAGUGGCGAAGGCGGCCUGCUGGACGAUGACUGACGUUGAGGCUCGAAAGCGUGGGGAGCAAACAGG